CAAAUGACUCUCGGCAAUGGAUAUCUCGGCUCUUGCAUCGAUGAAGAACGUAGUGAAAUGCGAUACUUGGUGUGAAUUGCAGAAUCUCGUGAAUCAUUGAGUCUUUGAACGCAAGUUGUGCCCGAGGCCUUGUGGCCGAGGGCACGCCUGCUUGGGCGUCAUGG
rnacentral:rRNA from 2 species